CUUUCGUGGGCCCAGAUCGUAUCGGGGGAACGGAGGACGCGCGUGUGCGUUCUGGUCCGUGGACCAGAACGUUCUCAUCUCAACCGAGCCACGGAUCAGAACAGAGGAAACCCUCGUCGCCCCCCUCUCUUCCCCCAAAACCGGCGGCGCUCGAUCUGCACCGGCGGCCACGUGAUGGAAGAGGCUGGCCUCGAUUUCCUGCUCGAUGUCGUCCACAGGCCAUCGCCGUCUUGUUUCAGGGGAGGAGUUCGAGGACUAUCUUGAACACCCAUAUCCGGUUCCUCUGGCCUUGUUCCUGAGAAGCGAAGCCAGCCGCGCCGUCCCUGCGGACUCAAAUGCCGGGUCUGGUUGCGGGCAACAGGACGGGAAGUGCGCCGGCGUCCUGAUGCUUCUCUGACUCGGUCGGGGCAGUCAACUGACCCCGAGGCCUCUGGUUGGACAAAAAGGUUACAGCUCGGUAGUGCACCACCAGACCAGACACCUUGUCCCUGGGAUGAGUGCUCACAAUUAUGCAGAGGAACCGACAAAGAGUGUAGUGCGACCUGCACUUGCUCGGGCGAGGCAUAUGAUUUCUACAAUUUGUACACUUGGGAGAUCGGGUUCGGAAUUAGAUAUGAUAAGAUCAGGCUCAACGCUGAGAGGACAAAAUGCAUGGAGGAGAUAGUCUGCGGUUGCUCGGGAUUGGGCCAAUGUACUCCCCAAGUACUUCUGGUUACUGUACAACUUAGACUAUACAUGCUUGGCGAGCAGUCAUAAUUCUGAACGAAUGAACAAUUGGAGGCUAGGUCAGCAUUGCCUUACAAAUUCUACCUGUGUUCAUGCACUCCUCCGGUUGUUGUAGCGAUGAUCUGUUCCUUUCUCAGUGGGACAUGCGGGUCUUGAAAGGUUCAAGACAAUAACAAGCAGUUACUACUUACUACCGGGGACUGCAUGGAAUCAUUUUUCAGGCAUUUGCGGAAUCAUUAGGAAUGAAUUUUCUUGAGAGUUAUGCUACGGAAUCCAUCAAUGUGGAGAGAACUUUCUUAAAUAUGUCAUCAGAAAUGAAGAAAAGAUAACCAGGAGCUACACACUUUUAGAGGCCUUUUUUCUUCCCAGUUUCUCUGAAAUGUUAGAUCUCAUCGAAUGACCUGUAUUCUUGUGAAAAAGAAAGGCUUUGGGAAUUCCGUCCAAUAUGUUUGCAUUACUGGUUUAAAAAAUAUGAUAUGCUCAUCUUUUUAUUGGGUUGUGUGCAUGAUCAAGAGAAGCCGAGAGAGCAAUAAUUUCUUGCUUUUCGGAAGAAAAACUGCAAGCAAGAGCAAUGACGAACAAUUUCUCAAAUACUUCCCAUGGAGCCUUUCAUUACAUUAAUUCUGCAGAGUUCAUAAUUGACACAAACAGUUUAUUUAGGUAUUGGCUUUAGUUUUUCUGAUGGCUAAGGACAGAUCAUGCAGUUAUCUCCUCUUAUGACUACUUCUGCUGCCUUCUAAAAAUCUGAAUGACGAGCCAAUCUGCCACGGAGAGGAAAUCUACUGUCCAUGUUCACAUGAAAGGGCAGCCCAUACAGCAGCAGAACAGCAGCUGCUGCUCCGCAUAGGCUCAGCAAGACUCCAUUCCCAUGUGUUAUGAUAUUGUUGAGUGGACAUGAUUUUGUUGUGUUACUGUUUACCAUGGAGUACAUAUUUAAUACCUGCCAAUGUAUUAGGUGCAUUUGAUGGAUCUUAGGUAACGAAAAUUGUGUGAAAACAUGGUUAAUUAAAGCUUAGUAAUCAUCGCCCUGUCAUAUUUCCCAAAGGAUCAUAUUGUUGACUAUAUCU